AUUGAACGCUGGCGGCAGGCCUAACACAUGCAAGUCGAACGAGUGGCGGACGGGUGAGUAAUGUCUGGGAAACUGCCUGAUGGAGGGGGAUAACUACUGGAAACGGUAGCUAAUACCGCAUACCAUCGGAUGUGCCCAGAUGGGAUUAGCUUGUAGGUGGGGUAACGGCUCACCUAGGCGACGAUCCCUAGCUGGUCUGAGAGGAUGACCAGCCACCUGGGAACUGAGACACGGUCCAGACUCCUACGGGAGGCAGCAGUGGGGAAUAUUGCACAAUGGGAGCAAGCCUGAUGCAGCCAUGCCGCGUGUGUGAAGAAGGUCUUCGGAUUGUAAAGCACUUUAAGUUGGGAGGCGUUACCCGCAGAAGAAGCACCGGCUAACUCCGUGCCAGCAGCCGCGGUAAUUC
rnacentral:rRNA from 1 species